rnacentral:rRNA from 1 species
GAUGAACGCUGGCGGCGUGCUUAACACAUGCAAGUCGAACGGUGAAGCAGGAGCUUGCUCCUGUGGAUCAGUGGCGAACGGGUGAGUAACACGUGAGCAAUCUGCCCUGGACUCUGGGAUAAGCGUUGGAAACGACGUCUAAUACCGGAUACGAGGCGUGGGGGCAUCCCCAACGCCUGGAAAGAACUUCGGUCCAGGAUGAGCUCGCGGCCUAUCAGGUAGUUGGUGAGGUAACGGCUCACCAAGCCUACGACGGGUAGCCGGCCUGAGAGGGUGACCGGCCACACUGGGACUGGGACACGGCCCAGACUCCUACGGGAGGCAGCAGUGGGGAAUAUUGCACAAUGGGCGCAAGCCUGAUGCAGCAACGCCGCGUGAGGGACGACGGCCUUCGGGUUGUAAACCUCUUUUAGCAGGGAAGAAGCGAAAGUGACGGUACCUGCAGAAAAAGUACCGGCUAACUACGUGCCAGCAGCCGCCAUAAGAC